GCGCCCGUAGCUCAGCUGAUAGAGCGCUGCCUCCGGAGGCAGAGGUCUCAGGUUCGAAUCCUGUCGGGCGCGCCA
rnacentral:tRNA from 1 species